rnacentral:rRNA from 1 species
GACGAACGCUGGCGGCGUGCUUAAUACAUGCAAGUCAAGGAGAACAUUUCCUUCGGGAAAUUAUUAAACUGGCGAACGGGUGAGUAACACGUAGGCAACCUGCCUUGGAGAUUGGGAUAACCCCGGGAAACCGGGACUAAUACCGAAUAAUGCAGCGGCUUCUUCGGAAGAUGUUGUUAAAGCGGGCUUCGGCUCGCACUUCAAGAUGGGCCUGCGUCCGAUUAGCUUGUUGGUAAGGUAACGGCUUACCAAGGCGAUGAUCGGUAGCUGGUCUGAGAGGAUGAUCAGCCACACUGGGAUUGAGAUACGGCCCAGACUCCUACGGGAGGCAGCAGUAGGGAAUUUUGCGCAAUGGACGAAAGUCUGACGCAGCAACGCCGCGUGAUCGAUGAAGCUUCUAGGAGUGUAAAGAUCUGUCGUGAGGGAAGAAAAAUUUGGAUGUAAAUAAUGUUCAAACUUGACGGUACCUUACAAGAAAGCACCGGCUAACUUCGUG